UUGACUUGGCCCCACGCGAGUCGGUGGCGGUCCCUCCUACUGAUCCUCUGAAGCCAGCUGCUGAUGAUGUGUUGCUUGAGAAACAACCUAUUUCGGCCACCCCAUCUCCGGGGCCUGCUCCAACCUUCCAGGCCGUCCUAUCUCCCCUACCCAUUCCGGAAUUGAGGAUCUGCCCAUCUCCCCUGCCCGAGAUGAGUGGGGUCGCAGUCUAAGAGGAAGAAGAAAUCGUCAGUCCACAAGUUCUCGGCGAAGAGCAGGGCCUCCUCGGGCUCUAAGCAAUCGAUGACUGGUGUCUGCCCCCGCCUUGACAAGGACCUGGGAUCGAUGUCGCGCUCGGGCCCCGUUCCUGCUUCUACCAUGGCCCGGUCUCCUUUGAUUCGUUCGCCCACUUCCACGGCUCGCAAGGGCAAGCGGGUCAGCGAGGCGGGCGGAUCUAUCUUGGAGCGGGCGGAGCGGCGGGCUGCUGCUAAGGAUCUUCCCCCUUCAGGUAAUCAUCUUGGUCCUCUCCCCUCCUCUUCCCCGAUUCAGCUUUUUCUCUCGUCUCUUUCUGAUGACCACUUGUUAAAUAUUAUGUCUGAUGUGGGUGUGUCGGUAGAUACCGAGGUAGGCUCCCCCUUACUCUCCUCUCUACUAUCGGGGCUAACAAGUUGGCUCAGGCGGCCGUCGCUAAAGCAAAAGAGGCCGUUGCCUCUUCGGCUGUAGCUUCGGAAGGUGUUCGGGCUCCGGUCGAUGGUGUGGAGGUUGGUAGUCGCCAACCCCAGCCUUCUUCCAGAAGGGGCCCUAUUAAAAGAUCUAAACCCUGCGUGGCUCCUAGCAGGUCCAGUCUCCGUAUUAAAAACCUCUCUUAUAAAUGAAAGCCUUAUUUUGGAAAAUUAGAAGUUUCGGUGCUAGGGGGCGUCACAACCAAAUUAAAGACUUGAUUCAUGGUAAUAACAUUGACUUGGUUGGGCUGGUUGAAACCUUUAAAGAAUCCUUCUCCCCUAACGAACUUUCUGCCAUCGCGGGCAUGGAUAGAUUUGAUUGGCAUGUGCUACUUGCUUCCGAUCAUUCGGGAGAGAUCCUGAUUGGCUCAAAAAAGAUAUGUUCGAUUUCGUGGCCUUUGAUCAUGGUGUUUUCUGGGUAAGCACGGUAGUCUGUCACAAAGCCCUCAAUAUUCUAUGGGAAAUCAUCGUGGUUUAUGGCCCGGCUGAUCAUUCGCUUUCCUCCUUAUUCUUGGACGAGCUCUCUGCUAAGAUUGAGGCAUGUAAUUUACCAAUUAUUAUCGGUGGGGAUUUCAACCUCCUUUGCUCUCCUGCUGACAAAAGUAAUGACAAUUUUUCUUGGAGGCUGGUGAACGCUUUCAACGACUUCAUUAGCAUCAAUGCUAUCCGCGAGCUACCUAGGAUUGGGGCCCGCUUCACUUGGUCUAACCAUCAGGCCAACCCGAUUAGAUCGGUACUUGCCAGAGUUUUUAUGUAUUCUAGUUGGGAUUCUCUCUUUCCUUGGGCCUCCCUCACCGCUAAAUGUAUCGUUGGCUCGGAUCACACCCCCCUUAUUCUUGAUGGUGGGCUACAUCAAGAUAGACCUCCUGCCAGAUUCCAAUUUGAUGCCUCUUGGCUGUUUGUUGAAGGGUUUUAUGAUUUGCUUGCCUCAAAGAUUACUCGUCUCCUAUCCACUAACCCUCGUUCCUUUGGUCCACUCGAUGAUUGGCACUUUUGCUCUUACAAUUUGCGCAAAUUUCUGAGAGGCUGGUCCUGUAAUCACGCUGCAGAGGAGCGUCGCUCGAAAGACGCUCUCGAACCUCAAAUCUUGGCCCUUGAUCAUUUAGCUGAUUCUUUUGGGCUCUCUGAAGAUGGGUGGUCUUUGCGAUACAAUCUUGAAUCAGCCUUGAUGCAUUUGCAUCAACAGGCGGAAAUUUAUUGGCGACAGCGGGGCACACUUAAUUGGACUCUAAAAGGGGAUUCCCCCAUGGCUUAUUUUUUUGCUAUCGCUAACGGUAGGAGGAGGCGUUGUGGUAUUAACAGCCUGAUCAUUAAUGGUGUGCGGUCUUCUGACCAACCUGUGAUCCUCUCUCACGUGGUGGAGCUCUUCUCUUCGUUAUUAGGGUCCAAACCUUCCUCGGGAUUUUCUAUCUCGCCAAACUUGUGGGACCACAACAUGAAAAUUUCGGCCGAUGAAAAUGCUGAGUUGUUGAUGCCCCUUUCUGAUAAGGAGACCUGGGAUGUGAUUAAUUCUGCUAACCCUAAUGCUACUUCCGGGCCGGAUGGCUUUUCGUUUCCCUUCUUCCGGAAGUUUUGGCCUCAGUUGAGGCAGUUGAUUUGUAAUGUUAUUCAGGGGUUUUGCCUAGGCACUAUAGAUAUUUCUUGCCUCAAUUACGCGGUGAUAACCCUGAUUCCUAAAGUAAAAGCAGCUGAGCUGAUCUCCCAGUUCAGACCCAUUGCGCUUAUCAAUAAUUUUGCUAAGUUUCCUGCUAAGGGCUUUGCUACCCGCUUGUCUCCUGUUGCGCAUAGAGUUAUCAGCCCCUACCAGUCAGCUUUCAUCAAAGGGCGCUUCAUAUUAGAUGGUAUCCUUUGUCUUCAUGAAAUAGUUCAUGACUUGAGGAUUCGUAAUUCUAAGUCUGUUAUUUUAAAACUAGACUUUGAGAAGGCCUAUGAUUCGGUCAGUUGGCCUUUUCUCAGGAAGGUUCUUCUGGCGAAAGGUUUUGACGGGGCGUAUGUUCAUCGUAUUAUGCAGUUGGUCUCGGGGGGCCACACUGCGGUCUAUGUGAAUGGCCAUAUUAGUAAUAUUUUUGUCAAUGGCAGAGGCCUGCGUCAAGGGGACCCUGCUUCUCCUGUCCUGUUCAAUUUUGUGGCCGAUGCCUUUUCUCGCAUUUUAUCUAGGGCGGCUCAGCAUGGUCAUAUCAUGCCUGUGGUCUCUCGUCUAGUCCUUGAUGGUGUCACUCACUUGUAAUACGCUGAUGACACCAUUAUUAUGGUUGAACUAAAUGAUGCAUGCAUUGCCCACCUCAAGUUCAUCCUUUUAUGCUUUGAGGUCGUCUCGGGUCUUAAAAUUCACUUCUCCAAAAGUGAGGUCCUGGUUACUGGUGUUGAUGAUGCGGAGGCCUUGAGAGUGGCUAGGUUGCUUAACUGUUCCCUGGGCUCCUUCCCCUUCAAAUAUAUGGGCCUUCCCAUCUCUCCUGUUCUGCUACGCUCUAAGGAUUUUGCUCCGGCUGUUUCUAAGGUGGGAAAUAGGGUUCUCCCCUGGAGAGGUAGAUAUAACACCAAUGCUGGCAAAUUGGCUUUGAUUAACACUUGCCUUUCCUCCCUCCCUAUGUUUCUAAUGGGCUUCUAUCUCCUAUAGGGUGGUAUUCAUGCCGGUUUUGACAAGCACAGGGGUGCGUUUUAUUAGAAUGUUGCCGACAACAAACGGAAAUAUAGGUUGGUUAAAUGGAAGCUCAUGUGUAGGCCUAAAAACCUUGGGGGACUAGGGAUUAUCAACACGAUGGUCAUGAACAAAUGUCUUCUAAUCAAAUGGUGGUGGAAAAUCAUGACUCGUGGGGCUGGCUCCUUAUGGUACUCUAUUCUUAAAGCUAAAUACUUCCCACACUCUAGCCCGAUGUUUGAAGUGGCCCAGCGUGGCUCCCAAUUCUGGAAAGACCUUUUUAAAGUCAGACCUUUAUUCCUGGAUCAUGUGAAGUUCAAUGUUGGUAAGGGUACCUCGGUUCAUUUUUGGCGUGAUUGGUGGUGUGGUGAUACUCCUCUGGCAGUUAGCUUUCCGGUUCUUUUUCCGUAUUGCCCUAAUCUAGAGAUCUCCAUCGUGGAGGUGGCGGCUAAUAAUUGGGAUUUGGCUUUUCGCCAUUCCUUGUCUCCUGAAGAGUUGGAUGACUGGCAAAGACUCUCUGCCUUCUUCCCCCUGCUCUUGGAGACGCAUGAUACGGUGAUCUGUCCUCAUUCUCCUUCUGGUCAUUUUUCAGUUAAAUCCUUGUAUUCUAGGCUCAUCGAAGGUUCCCCUUCGAAUAUAUUUUCUUGCAUCUGUCGGUCCAAAGCUCCUCCUAAGAUUAAAAUCUUCCUCUAGCAGGCCUUUAGAGGUCGUCUCCUUGCGGCCGACCAAAUUCGUAAGCGGAACGGGCCGGGAUUGGCUUUCUGUGACCUACGUGGUGCCGCGGAGGAUACGAACCAUAUCUUUUUUCAUUGUGUGUUGGCUAAGCUGGUCUGGAGCUGUGUCUGCUCAUGGCUCCAGGUUCCUUGGAAUCCCUCCUCCUUUCAUGAGUUGAGAAACCUUGCCAGCUCACUGGUUGGGGUGACUAAGAGAGUUUUCUGGGUUGGCCUGGGUGCGAUAUGCUGGUCUUUGUGGACGAUUAGGAACAAAUUUACGAUCGAGCACGUCUUCCCAUCUAAGGAUGCUGACGUUCUUUUCAAAUCUGGUAUCUUCUUGCAGCAGUGGAGAUCAUUGACUAAGGAGGACGACCGGGGAGCGCUGGACCUGCUCAUAUCUAAAAUUCUGGCCUCAGCGUCUUCUAUUUCUGGGCAGGACCCUGGCGCCUGAUCUUUCAUGUCGAUGUUUCGUCGUCUUCGUUGCUGGCGGUGUCUACUUCUUCUCCGGCCUGCAUACCAUGUCUGGCAGGUUGCCAUGUACCCCUAAUACUCUCUUGCUAUUGGUCCCUAGUACUGUUGUCGUGUUUUAUUGCUGGCUUCGCCUUUUGUUGGUGUUGGGCUUGUGACUCUGCCUUGUGGAUUUAUUUAUAAAGUCGGGGUAUGGCCUUUUCUCUAAAAAAGAGGAUGAUCUUUCAUGAUUAGAGCGGAUCAUGCGAAGAACAAGAAGAACACAUGAGGGGAAAACAUGAG
rnacentral:lncRNA from 1 species